rnacentral:rRNA from 1 species
UAACCUGCCCACUAAUAAUUAUUAAAGGGCCGCAGUAUUUUGACUGUGCGAAGGUAGCAUAAUCAACUUUUAAUUGAGGGCUGUAUGAAUGGAGAUAUAUACUGUCUUUUUUAAAUUUUUAUAGAAUUUUAUUUUUUAAUUAAAAAGUUAAAAUGUAAUUAAAAGACGAGAAGACCCUAUAGAUCUUUAUUUUUGUUAAUUAUAAAUUAAAAAGAAUAAUUAAAUUUAUAGUUUUAAAAAAAAUUUUACUGGGGUGGUAUAAAAAUUUAAAAAACUUUUAUUUUCAAUUUACAUUAAUUUAUGAAUAUUUGAUCCAGUUAUAUUGAUUAAAAAAUUAAGUUACCUUAGGGAUAACAGCGUAAUUUUUUUUUAGAGUUCAUAUCGAGAAAAAAGAUUGCGACCUCGAUGUUGGAUUAAGAGUUAUUUUUAGGUGUAGAAGUUUAAAG